rnacentral:rRNA from 1 species
CUUUUGAAAGUCGAGUGGCAAACGGGUGAGUAACGCGUAGACAACCUGCCGUAAAGAUGGGGACAACAGUCCGAAAGGACUGCUAAUACCGAAUGUUGUGGAACUUCCGCAUGGGAGCUCCACUAAAGAUGGCCUCUACUUGUAAGCUAUCGCUUUACGAUGGGUCUGCGUCUGAUUAGCUAGUUGGUGGGGGCAACGGCCUACCAAGGCGACGAUCAGUAGCCGGUCUGAGAGGAUGAACGGCCACAUUGGAACUGAGACACGGUCCAGACUCCUACGGGAGGCAGCAGUGGGGAAUCUUCCGCAAUGGGCGCAAGCCUGACGGAGCAACGCCGCGUGAGUGAAGAAGGGUUUCGACUCGUAAAGCUCUGUUGUCGGGGACGAACGUGGAGAUGGUGAAUAACCAUUUCCAAUGACGGUACCUGACGAGGAAGCCACGGCUAACUACGUGCCAGCAGCCGCGGUAAUACGUAGGUGGCGAGCGUUGUCCGGAAUUAUUGGGCGUAAAGGGAGCGCAGGCGGGAGAUCAAGUCUAUCUUAAAAGUGCGGGGCUCAACCCCGUGAGGGGAUGGAAACUGGUCUUCUUGAGUGCAGGAGAGGAAAGCGGAAUUCCUAGUGUAGCGGUGAAAUGCGUAGAUAUUAGGAGGAACACCAGUGGCGAAGGCGGCUUUCUGGACUGUAACUGACGCUGAGGCUCGAAAGCGUGGGGAGCGAACAGGAUUAGAUACCCUGGUAGUCCACGCCGUAAACGAUGAAUGCUAGGUGUAGGAGGUAUCGACCCCUCCUGUGCCGGAG